rnacentral:rRNA from 1 species
UACGAAGGGGGCUAGCGUUGCUCGGAAUCACUGGGCGUAAAGCGCACGUAGGCGGAUUCCUAAGUCGGGAGUGAAAUCCUGGAGCUCAACUCCAGAACUGCCUUCGAUACUGGGAAUCUUGAGUCCGGAAGAGGUGAGUGGAACUGCGAGUGUAGAGGUGAAAUUCGUAGAUAUUCGCAAGAACACCAGUGGCGAAGGCGGCUCACUGGUCCGGUACUGACGCUGAGGUGCGAAAGCGUGGGGAGCAAACAGG